rnacentral:rRNA from 1 species
CCUACGGGAGGCAGCAGUUAGGAAUAUUGGACAAUGGGGGCAACCCUGAUCCAGCCAUGCCGCGUGUGUGAAGAAGGCCUUAGGGUUGUAAAGCACUUUCAGCUGUGAAGAUAAUGACAGUAGCAGAAGAAGAAGCUCCGGCUAAAUUCGUGCCAGCAGCCGCGGUAAUACGAAUGGAGCGAGCGUUGUUCGGAAUCACUGGGCGUAAAGGGUGCGCAGGCGGUCAUGAAAGUUAGAAGUGAAAUCCCAGGGCUUAACCCUGGAAUGGCUUUUAAAACUCCAUGACUAGAGUACUGGAGAGGUUGGCGGAAUUCCGAGUGUAGAGGUGAAAUUCGCAGAUAUUCGGAGGAACACCAAUGGCGUAGGCAGCCAACUGGACAGUAACUGACGCUCAUGCACGAAAGCGUGGGGAUCAAACAGGAUUAGAUACCCUGGUAGUCCACGCCCUAAACGAUGUGUGCUAGUUGUCGGGUUCUUAGAACUCGGUGACGCAGCUAACGCUUUAAGCACACCGCCUGGGGAGUACGGUCGCAAGAUUAAAACUUAAAUGAAUUGACGG